AUUGAACGCUGGCGGCAUGCCUUACACAUGCAAGUCGAACGGUAACAGGUCUUCGGAUGCUGACGAGUGGCGAACGGGUGAGUAAUACAUCGGAACGUGCCCAGACGUGGGGGAUAACGAGGCGAAAGCUUUGCUAAUACCGCAUACGAUCUAAGGAUGAAAGCAGGGGACCGCAAGGCCUUGCGCGUUUGGAGCGGCCGAUGGCAGAUUAGGUAGUUGGUGGGAUAAAAGCUUACCAAGCCGACGAUCUGUAGCUGGUCUGAGAGGACGACCAGCCACUCGGGGACUGUGACAGGGCCCAGACUCCUACGGGGGGCGGCAGUGGGGAAUUUGGGACAAUGGGCGAAAGACUGAUCCAGCGAUGCCGCGUGCAGGAUGAAGGCCUUCGGGUUGUAAACUGCUUUUGUACGGAACGAAAAGGCUCUGGCUAAUACCUGGGGCACAUGACGGUACCGUAAGAAUAAGCACCGGCUAACUACGUGCCAGCAGCCGCCGCCG
rnacentral:rRNA from 1 species